rnacentral:rRNA from 1 species
GUCUUUUUGAAAAUAAUUUAAAGUCUAAUCUGCCCACUGAUAUAAUUAUUAAAGGGCUGCAGUAUUUUGACUGUACAAAGGUAGCAUAAUCAUUAGUCUCUUAAUUGGUGACUUGUAUGAAAGAUUGGAUGAGAUAUAAACUGUCUCUAAUUAAUUUAUAUAAUUUAAUUUUUUAGUUAAAAAGCUAAAAUAAAUUUAAAAGACGAGAAGACCCUAUAGAGUUUUAUAAUUUUAUAGGUUAUAAUUAUUAAUAGUUAAAAUUAUAAUUUAUGAAAUUAUUUUGUUGGGGUGAUAGAAAAAUUAAAUUAACUUUUUUUAAUAAUUAACAUUAAUUUAUGAAUAUAUGAUCCAUUUUUAGUGAUUAAAAGAAAAAAUUACCUUAGGGAUAACAGCGUAAUUUUUUUUUUUAGUUCAAAUAGGAAAAAAAGUUUGCGACCUCGAUGUUGGAUUAAGAUAAAAUUUAAAUGCAAAAGUUUAAAAUUUUGAUCUGUUCGAUCAUUAAAAUCUUACA